rnacentral:rRNA from 1 species
AAUCCAUAGGUUAAUGAGGCGAACCGGGGGAACUGAAACAUCUAAGUACCCCGAGGAAAAGAAAUCAACCGAGAUUCCCCCAGUAGCGGCGAGCGAACGGGGAGGAGCCCAGAGCCUGAAUCAGCAUGUGUGUUAGUGGAAGCGUCUGGAAAGGCGCGCGAUACAGGGUGACAGCCCCGUACACAAAAGCGCAUGUGCUGUGAGCUCGAUGAGUAGGGCGGGACACGUGGUAUCCUGUCUGAAUAUGGGGGGACCAUCCUCCAAGGCUAAAUACUCCUGACUGACCGAUAGUGAACCAGUACCGUGAGGGAAAGGCGAAAAGAACCCCGGCGAGGGGAGUGAAAAAGAACCUGAAACCGUGUACGUACAAGCAGUGGGAGCACAGGUUUACCUGUGUGACUGCGUACCUUUUGUAUAAUGGGUCAGCGACUUAUAUUCUGUAGCAAGGUUAACCGAAUAGGGGAGCCGGAGGGAAACCGAGUCUUAAUUGGGCGUUAAGUUGCAGGGUAUAGACCCGAAACCCGGUGAUCUAGCCAUGGGCAGGUUGAAGGUUGGGUAACACUAACUGGAGGACCGAACCGACUAAUGUUGAAAAAUUAGCGGAUGACCUGUGGCUGGGGGUGAAAGGCCAAUCAAACCGGGAGAUAGCUGGUUCUCCCCGAAAGCUAUUUAGGUAGCGCCUCGUGAAUUCAUCUCCGGGGGUAGAGCACUGUUUCGGCUAGGGGGCCAUCCCGGCUUACCAACCCGAUGCAAACUGCGAAUACCGGAGAAUGUUAUCACGGGAGACACACGGCGGGUGCUAACGUCCGUCGUGAAGAGGGAAACAACCCAGACCGCCAGCUAAGGUCCCAAAGUCAUGGUUAAGUGGGAAACGAUGUGGGAAGGCCCAGACAGCCAGGAUGUUGGCUUAGAAGCAGCCAUCAUUUAAAGAAAGCGUAAUAGCUCACUGGUCGAGUCGGCCUGCGCGGAAGAUGUAACGGGGCUAAACCAUGCACCGAAGCUGCGGCAGCGAACGUAUCACUUAAAGCGAUUCAGCGGGUUACGAUUGA